GCCUCUUGGGGUUGUAGGACACUCUGUACGGAGUUACAAAGGAACGAGGUAGAUGAAGAGGUCUGGAAAGGCCCGCCAUAGGAGGUAACAGCCCUGUAGUCAAAACUUCGUUCUCUCCUGAGUGGAUCCUGAGUACGGCGGAACACGUGAAAUUCCGUCGGAAUCCGGGAGGACCAUCUCCCAAGGCUAAAUACUCCCUAGUGACCGAUAGUGAACCAGUACCGUGAGGGAAAGGUGAAAAGCACCCCGGAAGGGGAGUGAAAGAGAUCCUGAAACCGUGUGCCUACAAGUAGUCAGAGCCCGUUAACGGGUGAUGGCGUGCCUUUUGUAGAAUGAACCGGCGAGUUACGAUCCCGUGCAAGGUUAAGCAGAAGAUGCGGAGCCGCAGCGAAAGCGAGUCUGAAUAGGGCGAAUUGAGUACGUGGUCGUAGACCCGAAACCAGGUGAUCUACCCAUGUCCAGGGUGAAGUUCAGGUAACACUGAAUGGAGGCCCGAACCCACGCACGUUGAAAAGUGCGGGGAUGAGGUGUGGGUAGGGGUGAAAUGCCAAUCGAACCUGGAGAUAGCUGGUUCUCUCCGAAAUAGCUUUAGGGCUAGCCUCAAGGUAAGAGUCUCGGAGGUAGAGCACUGAUUGGACUAGGGGCCCCUACCGGGUUACCGAAUUCAGUCAAACUCCGAAUGCCGAUGACUUAUCCUUGGGAGUCAGACUGCGAGUGAUAAGAUCCGUAGUCGAAAGGGAAACAGCCCAGACCGCCAGCUAAGGUCCCAAAGUAUACGUUAAGUGGAAAAGGAUGUGGAGUUGCUUAGACAACCAGGAUGUUGGCUUAGAAGCAGCCACCAUUUAAAGAGUGCGUAAUAGCUCACUGGUCGAGUGACUCUGCGCCGAAAAUGUACCGGGGCUAAACGUAUCACCGAAGCUGCGGACUGUUCUUCGAACAGUGGUAGGAGAGCGUUCUAAGGGCUGUGAAGCAAGACCGGAAGGACUUGUGGAGCGCUUAGAAGUGAGAAUGCCGGUAUGAGUAGCGAAAGAGGGGUGAGAAUCCCCUCCACCGAAUGCCUAAGGUUUCCUGAGGAAGGCUCGUCCGCUCAGGGUUAGUCGGGACCUAAGCCGAGGCCGAAAGGCGUAGGCGAUGGAUAACAGGUUGAUAUUCCUGUACCACCUCCUCACCAUUUGAGCAAUGGGGGGACGCAGGAGGAUAGGGUAAGCGCGGUAUUGGAUAUCCGCGUCCAAGCAGUUAGGCUGGGAAAUAGGCAAAUCCGUUUCCCGUGAAGGCUGAGCUGUGAUGGCGAGCGAAUUAUAGUAGCGAAGUUCCUGAUUCCACACUGCCAAGAAAAGCCUCUAGCGAGGUGAGAGGUGCCCGUACCGCAAACCGACACAGGUAGGCGAGGAGAGAAUCCUAAGGUGAUCGAGAGAACUCUCGUUAAGGAACUCGGCAAAAUGACCCCGUAACUUCGGGAGAAGGGGUGCUCUGUUAGGGUGCAAGCCCGAGAGAGCCGCAGUGAAUAGGCCCAGGCGACUGUUUAGCAAAAACACAGGUCUCUGCGAAGCCGUAAGGCGAAGUAUAGGGGCUGACGCCUGCCCGGUGCUGGAAGGUUAAGAGGAGCGCUUAGCGUAAGCGAAGGUGCGAAUUGAAGCCCCAGUAAACGGCGGCCGUAACUAUAACGGUCCUAAGGUAGCGAAAUUCCUUGUCGGGUAAGUUCCGACCCGCACGAAAGGCGCAACGAUCUGGGCACUGUCUCAACGAGAGACUCGGUGAAAUUAUAGUACCUGUGAAGAUGCAGGUUACCCGCGACAGGACGGAAAGACCCCGUGGAGCUUUACUGCAGCCUGAUAUUGAAUGUUGGUACAGCUUGUACAGGAUAGGUAGGAGCCUUGGAAACCGGAGCGCCAGCUUCGGUGGAGGCAUCGGUGGGAUACUACCCUGGCUGUAUUGACCUUCUAACCCGCCGCCCUUAUCGGGCGGGGAGACAGUGUCAGGUGGGCAGUUUGACUGGGGCGGUCGCCUCCUAAAAGGUAACGGAGGCGCCCAAAGGUUCCCUCAGAAUGGUUGGAAAUCAUUCGCAGAGUGUAAAG
rnacentral:rRNA from 1 species